rnacentral:lncRNA from 1 species
GGUCAUUCCUAAGAAUCUUUAGAUUUCUCGAUCAUAUAAAACUUGCUUAUAGCAGUUGUUGACCGUGGAUGGAGCCUGGACUGAAUCCAGAAUCUAGUUCAGUCCAGGGGGGACAGUUCUUUCGUGUAGUGAAUAUACAGAGGCCCGGUCCAAACAAAUUUUCAUCUCUUUAUUACAGUGCAUGAUCGGGUCAUGGCUCCAGCCAGAGCUCUUCUGGGAAACAGUAAGGAGAAAAUGAUAGGCCAGAGUAGCUUCUGACCGGAUUCCACUCCUCCCCGGCGGGGGUGGGGGGUGGGAGGAAUCACUUUACAUUUCCUUAAUUGCAGGGACAGCUUGUACGGUUGGCAGUUUGUAAGGUUGUAUGCUGGAGCUGAGAAAAGGGUUUAAUGAACUCCAGUUUCGUUUGCUUAGUUGGAAUUUACGUAGUCACAGACAAAAUUAACAGCUACCGUCAAAACGCAGAUGACAGCUGUGUCACAGGAGAGGAAAGGACCAUUAUUUUGGCUGAUGUUCCCUCUAAUAUAAAGUCCUUGGCUAUUAACAUUCUGAGACAGCCUAGGACAGAGAUUAUCCAUCGCACAGUUAAGGAUUAUGGCUCCUUAAAAGGGCUUCAUGUUUGAAAAGCCCAGCAGCAUGUACUGACAUCAGGAAGAAGAACAGGAGGAGGAGGAGGAGGAGGAAGAAGAAGAAGAAAGCAGCCCUUAGCAAGUAGGUACACUUGCUACUUAGCAAGAGGGCACACCCUUGGUUGUUCUGAAUCUGACAGAAGCAACCUGUGGGGACUGCCUAGAGGUACAAAAUGAAUAUUAUCCUCAGUUUUCUGAGCAAGGGACAAGAGACAAGAGUGUUACUCGAUACCUCACACCCCUUUCCUUUUUGGGUUGGCCACUGAGGUACAGAACUGAAAGCUGUAGGGCAAGAUUAAAAGAGCAAGGAUUUUAUAGAGAGGAAGCUGCACUAUGUAUUCUGUGUCGACAUAAUAUUUGUCUUUGACAAUCACAGGUUAAAUAAUUUAGGGUGGAAAUGCUGAACCUUAAGCAGGAAAGAAAGAUAAGGAG